AUGCUGGGCUCCUUCCCUGCUGUGGACCCUCCUGUUCCUGGUGAAGUGGCAGUGGUCAGGCUGGAGCAGCUGGCCUCAGGGGUGGUGUGCACCAUCACCUUUGCUCAGUUUGGCCAUCCUGCCGUGCAGGCCCACACCAUGGUCAGCUCCAUCCUCUUGGUACCACUGCUACCGAAUCAAGAUAAGUUCACUCCCUGGACUUCCAAAGGAGCCCAGAAGAUCCAAUUGGCAGUACACAGUUUUCUAACUGUUAGUUACAUCACGAAGAUUAGGAGGAAGCUGAGUUUUUGUAGAAGCUGUAACCAGUGUGAUAUCUCAGGCUGGAUCAAGACAUUUGGAGAAGGGACUAAGCUCCUCGUGAUUCCCUCUGACGCACACCUUCCUGCAGACAUUUCCCCCAAGCCCACCAUGUUUCUUCCUUCGAUUGCUGAAAUAAACCUCCAUAAGGCUGGAACGUAUCUUUGUCUUCUUGAGAAAUUCUUCCCUGAGGUUAUUAAGAUCUAUUGGAUAGAAAAGAAUGGCUAUAGAAUUCUGGAAUCCAAGCAGGGAAAUACCAUGAAGACUGAUACCACUUACAUGAAAUUCAGCUGGCUGACUGUGACUGGAAAGUCAAUGGAUAAAGAACAUAAAUGCAUCGUCCAACACGAGAAUAAUAAAGGAGGGGUUGACCAAGAGAUUCUUUUUCCUUCAGUGAACAAAGUUGUCACCUCAAUUUUCACUGCUACUGAUUCUACAAAGGCUCAUCCAAAAAAGGAAAGCAUGGCCACUGCUAUUAAUUCUAUAGAAGCUUGUCUAAAAGACGAGGACAACACCCUGCAGCUCACCAGCACCUAUGCCUAUUACGGCUACCUCCUCCUCCUCCUCGUGAGCGCGGUCUACUUUGCCAUCAUCACCAUCUGUUUGCUUAGGAGAACAGCGGCCUGUGCCAAUGGAAAGAGUUUGUAACAGACGGUGGCACAAAGAACUCAACUUUUCUCAUUGUUUAGUCUCCCUAAAACUGUCUGCCGAGGAUCUAGCUGGGUUUUCUCUCUGGCUUUCAGUUAUUUCAGGGCACAUGUGUACUUUUCCAUUACGUUGUUAUUGUGUAGUGAUUUUUCAAAGCACUGGACAAAUAGAGACUUUUACUCUGUAACAACAAUGAAUGAUUCUAUUACGCAGGGGCAGGGCCAUGGGGUAGUCCUUUAGCACCCCUGUCUCCAUGAUCUCCAUCAGCUCCUCCAACAACCUAAAUACCUAUGCCUUCUGAGUACAGACAGCAUGCAGCUAUAGUCAUGUCCCUUAGGGCCGUUUAACCAGAUGACCACCUAGGACCCUUCCAUUUUACUCAUUCUGAGCCUGAUAUCUUUGCUAUUUGAAUUCUCUACUUUGUUUUCCAUAACAGCCACAAUAAAAAAUUCAAAAGUCUA